AUACGGAGGGUGCAAGCGUUAUCCGGAAUCAUUGGGUUUAAAGGGUCCGCAGGCGGGCACUUAAGUCAGAGGUGAAAUCCCACGGCUCAACCGUGGAACUGCCUUUGAUACUGAGUGCCUUGAGUCAUAUUGAAGUAGAUAGAAUGUGUAGUGUAGCGGUGAAAUGCAUAGAUAUUACACAGAAUACCGAUUGCGAAGGCAGUCUACUAAGUAUGCACUGACGCUCAUGGACGAAAGCGUGGGGAGCAAACGGGAUUAGAUACCCCAGUAGUCC
rnacentral:rRNA from 1 species